rnacentral:rRNA from 1 species
CCUACGGGAGGCAGCAGUGGGGAAUAUUGGACAAUGGGCGAAAGCCUGAUCCAGCAAUGCCGCGUGAGUGAUGAAGGCCUUCGGGUCGUAAAGCUCUUUUACCAGGGAUGAUAAUGACAGUACCUGGAGAAUAAGCUCCGGCUAACUCCGUGCCAGCAGCCGCGGUAAUACGGAGGGAGCUAGCGUUGUUCGGAAUUACUGGGCGUAAAGAGUACGUAGGCGGUUAUUCAAGUCAGAGGUGAAAGCCCGGGGCUCAACCCCGGAACUGCCUUUGAAACUAGAUAACUAGAGUCUUGGAGAGGUUAGUGGAAUUCCGAGUGUAGAGGUGAAAUUCGUAGAUAUUCGGAAGAACACCAGUGGCGAAGGCGACUAACUGGACAAGUACUGACGCUGAGGUACGAAAGCGUGGGGAGCAAACAGGAUUAGAUACCCUGGUAGUCCACGCCGUAAACGAUGAUAACUAGUUGUUCGGUCACUUGGUGACUGAGUGACGCAGCUAACGCAUUAAGUUAUCCGCCUGGGAGUACGGUCGCAAGAUUAAAACUUAAAGGAAUUGACGG